rnacentral:misc_RNA from 1 species
UUUCCGUAGGUGAACCUGCGGAAGGAUCAUUAUUGUAUAACCGAGGUGCGAGGGCUGUCGCUGACCCGAAAGGUCGUGCACGCCCGAGUGCCCUCACACACAUCCAUCUCACCCCUAUGUGCACCACCGCGUGGCGCCCCCCUUUGCUUGUUCGGAGGGGGGCUUACGUUUUCACACAAACUUUGUAUGCAGUGUAGAAUGUAUUUUUUGUUUUUGCGAUCACGCAAUCAAUACAACUUUCAACAACGGAUCUCUUGGCUCUC